UACGAAGGGUUCAAGCGUUACUCGGAAUUACUGGGCGUAAAGCGAGUGUAGGUGGCUGUCCAAGUUGGAUGUGAAAGCCUUGAGCUCAACUCAAGAAAUGCAUUCAGGACUGCGCGGCUAGAGGACCGGAGAGGAUAGUGGAAUUCCCAGUGUAGUGGUGAAAUACGUAGAGAUUGGGAAGAACACCAGUGGCGAAGGCGGGUAUCUGGACGGUUUCUGACACUAAGACUCGAAAGCGUGGGGAGCAAACAGG
rnacentral:rRNA from 1 species